UACGUAGGGUGCAAGCGUUUAAUCGGAAUACUGGGCGUAAAGCGUGCGCAGGCGGUGAUGUAAGACAGAUGUGAAAUCCCCCGGGCUCAACCUGGGAACUGCAUUUGUGACUGCAUCGCUGGAGUGCGGCAGAGGGGGAUGGAAUUCCGCGUGUAGCAGUGAAAUGCGUAGAUAUGCGGAGGAACACCGAUGGCGAAGGCAAUCCCCCUGGGGCCUGCACUGACGCUCAUGCACGAAAGCGUGGGGAGCAAACAGG
rnacentral:rRNA from 1 species